GACGAACGCUGGCGGCGUGCCUAAUACAUGCAAGUCGAACGCAGUGGGGACGGGUGAGUAACACGUGGGUAACCUCCCGUCAGAGGGGUUAACAGUUGGAAAAAGGUGCUAAACCGAUAUGGAAGGAUGGAGCCGGGGUGGUAUAGCUAGUUGGUGGGGUAACGGCUCACCAAGGCUACGAUGCAUAGCCGGCCUGAGAGGAUGAUCGGCCACACUGGGACUGAGACACGGCCCAGACUCCUACGGGAGGCAGCAGUGGGGAAUCUUCGACAAUGGACGAAAGUCUGACCGAGCAACGCCGCGUGUGUGAAGAAGGUUUUAGGAUCGUAAAACUCUGUUGGUAGAGAAGCGGUAUCUAACCAGAAAGCCACGGCUAACUACGUGCCAGCAGCCGCGGUAAUUC
rnacentral:rRNA from 1 species